GCACCGUAAGUAUGAAAACAUCUGGUUCUAGUCGUUCACAUCAAGCUCAUCAUGCAAUUGAUCGGCUAAACUUAAUUUAAAAAAAUCACGUAACACAAUCUCGAAUAGUAAGGGGUUCAUUUUCCACAUUACAAUCCACCUAUUUCUCAUUGUUGAAGGUUUUUACGGUUUCUGCAAUGGCAAAGUGAUAUACACACCCUUGAGUUCUCAGCUCCUGAUUUCUCUCCUUGAUAAUCAUGUACGUACUUGGGAAUUGGUACCGGAAUUCCAGAGGGAGGCAAACUCUGAUAAGCGACUUCACUCGUAUUCAGCGUCUUUCAAGUCAUUGUUGAAGGAACCAAAGCACCGAGCUUGUAGUAGCUGCGUUAACUUAUCUGCAAAAGUUAUUCAAAUUGGGGAUGAGGAGGAAUUUGGAUUUAACAGGGAAAGUGUUCACGGACUUCAGAUGUAGAAAAAUAUGUGACGUGUUGACUCAUAAUUUUUUUUUAAUGAUAUUAUUUACAACUGACUGAUUCACUUAAUAUACCCUAACUUCUUUCGAGUACAGGUGCAAUAUUAUAAAUGUGUUCGGAAUAUUUGAUCUGUUAGCCUAAGGGUUACCGUACGUCUUUUCUGAACUUUUGAUUUUUUAAUUUAUUCUUAUCCAAAGAAAAUAAAAAUCCUUAGACUCAAGGAGUUUUGGGGUGAUUAGUCAGACGUUGUGGUGAUGGAUUAAUGAUUGUAAUCAUGGAAAAUGAUACGUUAUUCAAAUGCAAUUAGUACAGGUAGACUGGAGUUAGACGCGGGGUAUACUGUAGUUAAAAGCCGUGUUCAGACCAGUCACUGCAAACAAUGCAAAUACAUAGAAAAAAUAGAUUAGUGACUUGUCCCAUAAGCGUCAAACGUAACAAGUUUUCAAUUGCAAGCAUGCUUAAUAUGACGCUUAAAUAUUAAAUCACUGUCGUAAAUAUUAAUGAACUAGAUUACGAACAACUCCUCAAAAUUCAACAAAAGAUGAAAAUAUUUGGUCAUUGUACAUCAUUCAUAAUUUUUAGAGUGCAAAUGAAUCGACUCCGAAUCUUAUUCUACCUAUUUGGAAAUCGCCAAAUAUGAGUUUUUCUCCAUUAGUUGCUUCCAAUAUUCGAGAGGACAAUUGUUAAAUGUUGGGAUAUUUGACUGAAACAUAUCCUGUAAUGUUUCCAGAAGAAUGAAACACUUACAAUAAUCAGCAUUUUUGUGUUGCACAGCGUUGUGGAGAGCCAGUGCUAGGUAAGUGUGAUAUUUUAUGUAGCUGUUUUCCAUCAUAUCCAAAUCAGAACCA
rnacentral:misc_RNA from 1 species